CUGGAUUCUGCAGAAAUGCCCCGUGUGUCAUAAGACAUGUGAGAGCCACCGCCUCCCCUGGACUCAGUGACGAGGGCUGUGCAUCAGGCACCUUGCAGGCAAUACUCAGACCUGACUGCCCGCAGCCGUGGGCCUUAUUGGAGGCUACAGGUGAGCUUUGAGAAGCUGGGAGAAGAAAAGACCUCUCGGUUGCUAUGUGGCAGUCGCUGGGUUGUGGAGAAGGGACGCUGGUCUACAGGAUGCUGGGCUCAUUGCAGAAGCCCCAAACUUGAAGAAUGUCAGAUGCACCAGAGUCGACUACAGUCCCCUCCUCACGGGAGCCCCGAAGGAGGAGUUCCAGGUUUAGCUUUGCCAUGUAAAUAGUUCAGAAGUCAUCACUUCCAUCCUGCCAACACGAAAAAGGCUGAACAAACUGAAAAUCAAUGACUUUCCUUGCACCGUCUGAGAAUUAAGGAGGCAGGACAAACUGCCUCCCUGCAAUCUGGAAAGACAGAUGGAUGUGCAGAAUCACAGCUGAGGCCCGAUCACCUGGGCGGAAGCCACUGCAGCCUCACACGAGCGGGAACGCACACACGCUCGUUUUGAUGACUUGUGAAGGCCAAGCGUGGAUUGGCUGGAGAGAGAGAAACUCCUGGGGACUACAGGUUAAGGGGGACUCCACACUUGUGUGGGAUCUACCUCCAGGAACCCCACCAGGUUCCUGUAGUGAAGAGCACAGGAAGCCUUUCUAAUGUCUGGGCAGGAGGAGGGCCACAGAGCCUUUCUGAAACCUGCCCAGUGUUCUCCAUAACAGAUGCCUACUUAGCAGUCAGGAAGGAAAGCACCGAAGCCUGUGCACUUGGGGGCAGGGUGCGGGCUCACUCCAGCUCCCCCUGGGUUCUUGUCUCACUGAAGAGGGGAAGAAAGGUAGGAAACGCUUGUAGAGGACAAGCCAAAGACACAGACCCACUAAGGAAGUGAAACUUAAUCAUAGGAUUAUCAAAAGCUUCACCUCCCCGCAAUUCACUGCUCCGCUGAUGGGGCUUCCAGACAUUGGUAGAGGAUUACAGCAGAAAAGAUGCAAGCUACACCCUCUCACUCUGGAGGUGAAGCCCAGGCAACUGGUAGUGAGAGGACAGACCAAAGCAAAGAAUGUUCCCGGAGCCUGCAGCCCCAGCACUCACUGAACAUAUCUACUAGCCAGAUUAGCACAAAACCUCAUGCUAAAGACCGACUUACUCCAGUCCCUAUUAACAGGAAAGGAGUUGGCUCACACAACUCCAAAGCCUGGGAAGUCCUGGCAUCGGCCGUCUGAGGCUAGACGCCCAGCAAAGCUGGUGCUGUGGCUCCAAGACCUGGGAACCAGGAGCCCCAAUGUCCAAGGGGAGGAGAAGGUGGACGCCCCGGCUCACACAGGCAGACAGAGCAAACACAACCUUCCCCCACUGCUGCGUUCUCAUCAGGCUGACAGUGGCUUAGUUGAUGCCCACUGUGAUGGUUAAUUUUAUAUCAACUUGACUGGGCUAAGAGAUGCCCAGGCAGCUGGUAAAAUGUGAUUUCUGGGUGUGUCUGGGACGGUGUUUCUGGAAGACAUUGGCACUUGAAUCAGUGAACGGAGUCAAGCAGAUGGCCUCCCCAGUCUGGUUGGACCUCAUCCAAUCCAUUGAGGGCUUGAGUAGAAUGGAAAGGUGGAGGGAGGGAGUUUGCCCUUUCUCUGCGUAAGCUGGGCCUUUCAUCUCCUGCCCUGGGACUUCAGUGUCGCUGGGUCUCAGGCCUCUGGGCUUGGAGUGAAAUGACACCUCCAGUUUUCCUGGGCCUCCAGCUUGCACACAGCAGAUUGUGGGAUAUGUCAGCCCUCAUAAUGGUGUGAGCAAAUCUCUCAUAAUAAAUCUCUUUCUAUGUAUCUAUAAAUAG
rnacentral:lncRNA from 1 species